rnacentral:lncRNA from 1 species
UAGCGCGCACCUGUAAUCCCAGCUACUCAAAAGGCGGAGGCAGAAGAAUCGCUUGAACCCAGGAGGCGGAGGUUGAAGUUGUAACCGGCAGAAGGUGUCCAGGUACUCGGCAUCUCUAACAAAGAAUUGGACAAAAUGCACAAGGAUUUAUUGAGAACGAAAGUACAUUCCACUGAGUGGGAGUGGCCCAAGUAUAGGGGCUCAAGACCCCCGGUUACAGAACUUGUUGGAGUUUCAACACUUUAGAGGCUUCCCAUUGGUUACUUGGCUGUAACCAAGAAUGAAGUAAAGUUACAGAGUCAUUUAUUCAGAAGGCACCCUAUUGUAAAUGGAGAGGAUAUUACUUGGUGUGUGUGGUCUAUGUAAAUGGAGAGGAUGAAGUGAAGUUACAAAGCCAUUCAUAUUCCUGUCAUUGCUGAAGUGCUUUCAGUUUGAUUUAGUUCAGAAAGUCACCACGGGUUGGCUGGCCUUAAGUUCCCUGCCUCCAGGCCUUUUUCUCCUGCCUCACAAUGAGCCACAAUCAGGGCACUGCACUCCAGCCUGGGUGAACCAGGAAAACCUUGUCUCAAAAAAUAAAUAAAUAUGGCCAGGCACGGUGGCACACACCUGUCAUCCCAGCAGUUUGGGAGGCCGAGGUGGGUGGAUCACCUGAGGUCAGGAUUUUGAGACCAGUCUGGCCAACAUGGCGAAACCCCGUCUCUACUAAAAAAAUUACAAAAAUCAGCUGAACGUGGUGGCAUACGCUUGUAAUCCCAGCUGCUUGGGAGGCUGAGGCAGGAGAAUUGCUUGAACUCGGGAGGUGGAGGUUGCAGUGAGCAGAGAUUGCAUCACUGCCCUCCAGCCUGGGCAACAGAGUGAGACUACAUCUCAAAAAACAAAACAAAAAACAAAAAACCCAAAAAGCAAAAAAUAAAAUAAAUAAAAAUAAAAUAAAACACCUACCACGAAAAUAUAGAAUCCCAGAAUUUGUCCUCCCACCCGACUCUAAGGGAGUAGUGAAAACUGUGAGCCUAAACAUUUUGUUUGUUCUCAGAUGUCUGGUCCCCACUGUGGGGUGUUGGAGCCAGCUUGGACUGGCUUGUGAGAGGUGAUCGUGUGUUAUCUCCUCCCACUCCCUGCUCAGUGACUUCACGGGAGAGCUUGAAAUGAGUGGAAGUGGGAGCUUUUAUACCACUAAGGCCAGCAAGUGUUACAAAUCGGGGCUUAUUGUUCCCCAUGGAGAGCUGCUUCACCAGCAAAGCACAGCUCCCAAUCCAUGAUUCACUGUGAUGGGGAAUUGUAUGUGUCAAGCUGACCACGGGGCACCCAGAGAGCUGGUUAGACAUUACUUCUAGUUGUGUCUGGGAGGAUGUUCCUGGAAGAGACUUGCCUUUGGCUUGGUGGACUCAUAAAGCAGAUGGCACUCCCCAGCAUGGCUGGGCGUCGUCCAAUCCACAGAGGGCCUGAAUAGAACAAAAAGGCAGAGGAAGAAGGAAUCUGCUCUCUACCUGGCUGCUGAAGCUGGCGGGUGGGUCACCUCCUUCCCUCAGUGCUCCUGGUUCUCAGACCUUCAGACCUGGACUUGAAUCUACACCACUAGGUCUCUAGCUCUCAGGCCUUUGAGCUAUGCCACUGACUUUCCUGGGUCUCUACUUGCAGAAGGCAGAUUGUGGGACCUCUUAGCCUUCAUAAUUGCAUGGGUCAAUACUUCACAGUAAAGCUCUACUCCCCACAGCCCACCAGGCUCCCCGCCACUCCUGCCAUGCACCUGGCCUUGCCGGCCCACCUUCCCUGCUAAGCCCUGUGCCCACCUUGCACCUGGCUGCCCUGUUUGGAGCCAGGGUACUGUUGGUGCCCAUCCUCUGAACGGCCUCUGGGCUCCUGUCAGACCCUGCAUCCCUCAAACUGCUCAAGUGGGAAAGCUGAGUUACUGUAACCAGUGGCAGAUUUGGGGGGGAAGGAUUAGCAUCAAAAAAUGUUGAGGGGCGCUCUU